AGCAGCCGCGGUAAUUCCAGCUCCAAUAGCGUAUAUUAAAGUUGUUGCAGUUAAAAAGCUCGUAGUUGAACUUCGGGGUUUACCCAUUGGUCAGGCUUAAUUGUCUGCACUGGUGAGAUGAAUCUCUACCUUCUGAGGAACUUUCAUGCCAUUUAUUUGGUGUGAUGGGAAAUCAGGACUGUUACUUUGAAAAAUUGAGUGUUUAAAGCAGGCUAACGUCUGAAUACAUUAGCAUGGAAUAAUGAAAUAGGACGGACUGAUUCUAUUUCGUUGGUUUCUAGAAUCGACGUAAUGAUUAAUAGGGAUAGUUGGGGGCA
rnacentral:rRNA from 1 species